rnacentral:rRNA from 1 species
AGACGUAGGAUGCAAGCGUUAUCCGGAAUCAUUGGGCGUAAAGAGUCCGUAGGUGGUAUGUUAAGUUGGAUGUUAAAUUUUUGAGAUCAACUCAAAAAAUGUGUCCAAAACUGGCAAACUGGAGACAGGUAGAGGCAAGUGGAAUUCUGCAUGUAGGGGUAAUAUCCGUAGAUAUGCAGAGGAACGCCAAAAGCGAAGGCAGCUUGCUGGACCUGUUCUGACACUAAAGGACGAAAGCGUGGGGAGCAAACGGGAUUAGAAACCCCUGUAGUCC